AAGGGAAAAUGCGUCUCAGUGUAGCACUUUAUACUGUGAAACUGCGAAUGGCUCAUUAAAUCAGUUAUCGUUUAUUUGAUAGUACCUUACUACAUGGAUACCUGUGGUAAUUCUAGAGCUAAUACAUGCUGAAAACCUCGACUUCGGAAGGGGUGUAUUUAUUAUAUAAAAAACCAAUGCCCUUCGGGGCUCCUUGGUGAAUCAUAAUAACUUAACGAAUCGCAUGGCCUUGCGCCGGCGAUGGUUCAUUCAAAUUUGUGCCCUAUCAAACUUCGAUGGGAGGGAGGUGGCCUACCACGGUGGCAAAGGGUUACGGGGAAUUAGGGUUCCAUUCCCCGGAGGGAGCCUGAAAAACGGCUACCA
rnacentral:rRNA from 1 species